CAUAGCACCGGGGAGACACCCAGUCUCCAUUCCGAACCUGGAAGUUAAGCCCGGGCGCGGCGAUGGUACUUCGAUCGGAAGGUCGCGGGAGAGUAGCACGCCGCCGCAG
rnacentral:rRNA from 1 species